rnacentral:rRNA from 1 species
GUGAAGAAGGUCUUCGGAUCGUAAAACCCUGUUGUUAGAGAAGAAAGUGCGUGAGAGUAACUGUUCACGUUUCGACGGUAUCUAANCAGAAAGGCACGGCUAANUNCGUGCCAGCAGCCGCGGUAAUACGUAGGUGGCAAGCGUUAUCCGGAUUUAUUGGGCGUAAAGGGAACGCAGGCGGUCUUUUAAGUCUGAUGUGAAAGCCUUCGGCUUAACCGGAGUAGUGCAUUGGAAACUGGGAGACUUGAGUGCAGAAGAGGAGAGUGGAACUCCAUGUGUAGCGGUGAAAUGCGUAGAUAUAUGGAAGAACACCAGUGGCGAAAGCGGCUCUCUGGUCUGUAACUGACGCUGAGGUUCGAAAGCGUGGGUAGCAAACAGGAUUAGAUACCCUGGUAGUCCACCCCGUAAACGAUGAAUGCUAAGUGUUGGAGGGUUUCCGCCCUUCAGUGCUGCAGCUAACGCAAUAAGCAUUCCGCCUGGGGAGUACGACCGCAAGGUUGAAACUCAAAGGAAUUGACGGGGGCCCGCACAAGCGGUGGAGCAUGUGGUUUAAUUCGAAGCAACGCGAAGAACCUUACCAGGUCUUGACAUCUUCUGACAAUCCUAGAGAUAGGACUUUCCCUUCGGGGACAGAAUGACAGGUGGUGCAUGGUUGUCGUCAGCUCGUGUCGUGAGAUGUUGGGUUAAGUCCCGCAACGAGCGCAACCCUUAUUGUUAGUUGCCAGCAUUAAGUUGGGCACUCUAGCAAGACUGCCGGUGACAAACCGGAGGAAGGCG